rnacentral:rRNA from 1 species
UACCAGCACCCCGAGUGGUCGGGACGAUUAUUGGGCCUAAAGCAUCCGUAGCCGGUUCUGCAAGUCCCCCGUUAAAUCCAGCUGCUCAACAGAUGGGCCGCGGAGGAUACUACAGAGCUAGGAGGCAGGAGAGGCAAGCGGUACUCAGUGGGUAGGGGUAAAAUCCGCUGAUCCAUUGAAGACCACCAGUGGCGAAGGCGGCUUGCCAGAAUGCGCUCGACGGUGAGGGAUGAAAGCUGGGGGAGCAAACCGG